UACGUAGGGAGCAAGCGUUGUUCGGAUUUACUGGGCGUAAAGGGCUUGUAGGCGGCUUGUCAAGUCACUUGUGAAAUCUCUGGGCUUAACCCAGAACGGCCAAGUGAAACUGACAUGCUAGAGUGCAGAAGGGGCAAUCGGAAUUCUUGGUGUAGCGGUGAAAUGCGUAGAUAUCAAGAGGAACACCUGAGGUGAAGACGGGUUGCGGGGCUGACACUGACGCUGAGGCGCGAAAGCCAGGGGAGCAAACGGG
rnacentral:rRNA from 1 species